rnacentral:lncRNA from 1 species
GUGGGAGGCUGAGGUGGGAGAAUUGCUUGGGUCCAGGAGGUUGAGGCUGCAGUGAGCUGUGUUCACGCCUCUCCACCCUAGAGCAGGACCCUGUCUCAAAAACAAAACCAAACCACUAAAUGCUUCGUAAGGAAAUUUGAAAGUGAGGAAUAUAUCUUUUCUAUUUACCCACAAAUCUACCAUUUGAAGAGGGUGCCCUUCACCCCUUCUGGUACAUCCACGUUUCUAUCUGGUGUUGUGUUUCUUUUACCUGCAGAACUUCCUUUAAUAUUUCUUGCUGUGCGGGUCUGCUGGCAAUUAAUUCUCCCAGCUUUGGUUUUGUAUGAAAAAUGUGUUAGUGUGUCUUCUUUGAGGGAUAUUUUUGCCUGCUGUGGAAUUCUAGGUUGACAGUUUGUUUUGAUUUUUCUUUCAGCAUGUUGCAUCAUCUUUGGGCUUGCACACUCUCUGACAAGAAGUCGACUGGCACUGUUAUCUUUGAUUCUCUGAAUGUAAUAUGUUUCCCCCCUUCUAGCUGCUUUUAAGAUGUUUCUCUUUAUUGCUGGUUUUCAGCAAUUGAUUAUAAUGUGUCUUGGUGCGUUUUAUAAAUAUGUGUGUUUAGCCUACCUGGGGUUUAUGGAGCUUACAUCUGCAAGUUUAUGGUUUUCAUCAAAUUUGAAAAGUUGUAGGCCAUUACUUCAUCAGACUUUUUUUUGGUUAUCCCUUUCUCUCCUCUCUUUCUGGAACUCCAGUCACAUAGGUAAAGCCACUUAUUUCUCAGGCCAUUGAGGCUCUGUGCUCAUUUUCAUCACUUUUUCCUUUCUGUGCUUUAUUUUGGAUAGAUUCUAUUGCAGUUCUUCAAAUUCUCUAAUCUUUUUUUUUUUUUUUUUGAGAUGGAGUUCCACUCUUGUUGCCCAGGCUGGAGUGCAGUGGCGUGAUCUCAGCUCACAGCAACCUCCACCUCCUGGGAUCAAGCAGUUGUCCUGUCUCAGCCUCCCAAGUAGCUGGGAUUACAGGCGUGCACCACCAUGCUCGGCUAAUUUUGUAUUUUUAGUAGAGAUGGGGUUUCUCCAUGUUGGUCAGGCUGGUCUAGAACCCCUGAGCUCAGGCAAUCCGCCCCCAUCGGCCUCCGAAAGUGCUAGAAUUACAGGCCUGAGCCACUGUGCCUGGCUUUUUUUUUUUUUUUUUUGAGACAAAGUCUUACUCUGUUGCCCAGGCUGGAGUGCGGUGGCACAAUCUGAGCUCACUGCAACCUCUACCUCCCAGCUAUUCAGGAGGCUGAGGCAGGAGAAUCGCUUGAACCCGGGAAGCGGAGGUUGCAGUGAGUCGAGAUCGCGCCAUUGCACUCCAGCUUCAGCUUGGGACAGAGCGAGACUCUAUCUCAAAAAUAAAUAAAUAAAUAAAAUAAAAAAAUAACGAUAAGGUCUCACUUAGUCAUUCAGACUAGAGUGCAGUGACGACCAGGCUCAGUGUAGACUUAAACUUCUGGCCUCAAGUGAUCCUCCCACCUCAGCCUCUCAAGUUGCUGGGACUGUAGGCAGGCACCACCACACCCAUCUAAUUUUUUUAUUUUUCUGUAGAGACAGGGUCUGGCUAUGUUGACCAGGCUUAUCUCAAAGUCCCAGCCUCAAGUGAUCCUCCUGCCUCGGCCUCCCAGUGUGCUAGGAUUACAGGCAUGAGCUACUGUGCCUGGCCCAAAUUCCCUCAUCUUUUCUGCUGCCGGUGUCUAAUCUGUGUAAUCCCUUUCAGUAAAAUUUUUCUUUCAGAUAUGUGUAUAUCAUUCUCUAAAAGUUCUGUUCACUUCUUUUUAUAUCUUCUGUUCCUUUCAUUACGUUCAUGUUUUUCUUUAUACUCUUGAGCAUUCUGAAUGUAUUUAUAAUAGCUGUUUUCAUGUCCUUGUCUGCUAAUUCCGUCAUCAUCUAUGUCAAUUCUGGGUCUGUUUCAAUUGAGUGAUUUUUCUCUUGGUUAUAGGUCACAUUUUCCUGCACCUUUGUUUACCUGGUCCUUUUUUUUUGAGGCAAGAGUCUUGCUUUGUUGCCCAGGCCAGAGUGCAGUGGUGAUCUCGGUUCACUGCGACCUCCACCUCCUGGAUUCCAACGAUUCUCGUGCCUCAGCCUCCCAACUACUCAGGAAGCUGAGGCGGGAGAAUCACUUGAACCCGGGAGUGGCCAAGAUCACACCACUGCACUCCAGCCUGGGUGACAGAGUGAGACUCUGUCUCAAGAAAAAAAAAAAAAUUACAUAACAGACAUUGUUUACAUUGCUGAAUAUAUUUUUUUACAGAGUAUUUAUAAACUUUUUCUGGAAUCUAGUUAGGUUACUUGUGAAUUACUUUGAUACUUCUAGGCCUGUUUUUAAGCUUUUUUAGUGCAGCUUUAGCAUUGCCUUUAUUCUAGGGCUAACUUAAUCCUAUUUCUAGUAUGUUACACUUUUGGGUCUCUACUGAAUGUCUCAUGUAUUCAAUGAAAUCUUUCUACUCUGGCUGCAGGGAGCUCAAAAGACUCUCAGCCCUGUGUCAACUCUAAGAAUUGUUUUCUCCUUGAAAGUUGCUCUUGUCCAGCCCCACAGAGUUUCACCCCAUGCAUGCACAGAUUGAUAUUCAGCCAAAGACUCAAGGGGACCACCGGUUUCUGAAUCCUCCCUCUCUUUGCAGCUCCCUCCUCUCAGGCACUCUAUCCCCCAAAUUCCAGCCAUGUUGGCCUGCCUGAUCACCAGUCUCCGUCUCUGCAACUCAGCAGGAUUGCUGGGCUGUUUGGGCUUCCCUUCCUAUAAAUUAAAUCCAGCCAAGCAGCCUGGACAAUAAGACUCAUUUUGUUUCUCUUCUCAGGGAUCACAGUUCUAUGAUGUCUCUUGUCCUAUGUUUUAAAUAGUUUCCUGGCCGGGCGUGGUCGCUCACUCCUGUAAUCCCAGCACUUUGGGAGGCUGAGGCAGGUGGAUCACCUGAGGUCAGGAGUUCGAGACCAGCCUGGCCAACAUGGUGAAACCCCGUCUCUGCUAAAAAUACAAAAAUUAGCCGGGCGUGAUGGUGGGCACCUGUAAUCUCAGCUACUUGGGAGGCUGAGGCAGGAGAAUCACUUGAACCCCAAAGGUAGAGGUUGCAGUGAGCUGAGAUCGUGCCACUGCACUCCAUCCUGGCUGACAAAGCAAGAUCUGUCUC